CUCUCCCUCCGUCCCUCCCUCACACACACACGCAGAGAGACAGACAGCUGCUUCUGACUGGAGAAAAAAAUAAAUAAAAAGAAAGAUAGCUGGGGGAGAUCCUGGAAACACAGAUCGUAUGAAAGGGAAACUUUAAUUUUUUUAGGUGAAAAUAAAAGUCAGACAUACUUCGGACGGGAGGUGAACGAAGGGGCCGAGCCGCGUCUGGCGCGCCGAGGGGAGUACAUGCACACACCGUUUGUUUUCCUUGAAGAAUACCCAUUCCAAGCAGAGCCCUGGCCACAUAAACGGAACUUACAAGGGGAGCCGGGGCUUGCACAUCGCUGUCUCCUGCUAGGCUUGGUAUUGGUCCGCCGCUGACCAUGGGGGAAACUAAGAUAAUAUAUCACAUUGAUGACCAAGAAACGCCGUAUCUGGUCAAACUGCCCAUCCCGGCGGACCGGGUCACUUUGGCAGACUUUAAAAAUGUCCUGAAUAAACCGAACUACAAGUUUUUCUUCAAAUCUAUGGACGAUGACUUUGGAGUGGUGAAGGAAGAGAUCUCGGAGGACAAUGCCAAACUCCCCUGUUUCAAUGGCAGAGUGGUGUCCUGGCUGGUCUCGGCGGAUGGCUCUCAUUCUGACGGAGGGUCGGUUUGUGCUGACAGCCAGUCGGAUCUCCCGCCCCCGAUCGAGCGCACCGGAGGGAUUGGAGACUCGCGCCCGCCAUCCUUCCAUGCGAACGCCGCUGGCAGUCAGGACAACCUGGACAACGAGACGGAGACGGAGUCGGUGGUGUCCUCACGGCGAGAACGGCCGCGCCGGAAAGACGCCCACGAGCACGUCUCGCGGGUGAACGGCCAUGCCAAGCUGGAGCGACGUCACGACGUGGGGGGCUACGAGAGCUCGUCCACGCUGAUGAGCAGCGAGCUGGAGUCCACCAGCUUCUUCGACUCGGAGGAGGAUGACUCCGCCAGCCGGUUCAGCAGUUCCACAGAGCAGAGCAGCUCCUCGCGGCUGAUGAGGCGACACAAGCGUCGGCGGAGGAAACCCAAGGCGCAGCGCAUGGAGCGGUCCUCGUCCUUCAGCAGUAUCACAGACUCCACCAUGUCUCUCAACAUCAUCACUGUGAUUUUAAACAUGGAGAAGUACAAUUUCCUGGGGAUCAGCAUCGUGGGACAGAGUAACGAGCGGGGCGACGGCGGGAUCUACAUCGGCUCCAUCAUGAAGGGGGGGGCCGUGGCCGCGGACGGGAGGAUUGAACCCGGGGACAUGCUGCUGCAGGUGAAUGACAUCAACUUUGAGAACAUGAGCAAUGACGACGCAGUGCGGGUGCUGAGGGAGAUCGUUCACAAACCCGGGCCCAUCACGCUCACGGUCGCUAAGUGCUGGGACCCCACCCCCAGGGGGUGCUUCACACUGCCCAGGAUUACAAACUGUGUAGCGUAUUGUCCUGCUUAUCCAGGCGAGCCGAUCCGGCCGAUCGACCCGGCUGCCUGGGUGUCCCACACGGCAGCGAUGACAGGGACGUACCCGGUGUACGGUAUGAGCCCUUCCAUGAGCACCAUCACUUCCACUAGCUCCUCCAUCACCAGCUCCAUCCCCGAGACUGAGCGAUUCGAUGAUUUCCACCUGUCCAUCCACAGCGACAUGGCCACCAUUGCUAAGGCCAUGGCAUCGCCCGAGUCCGGUCUGGAGGUGCGGGACAGGAUGUGGCUGAAGAUCACCAUCCCCAAUGCCUUCAUAGGUUCAGACGUGGUCGACUGGCUGUACCACCACGUGGAGGGUUUCACCGACCGGAGAGAGGCGCGCAAGUACGCCAGCAACCUGCUGAAGGCCGGCUUCAUCCGGCACACCGUCAAUAAGAUCACCUUCUCAGAGCAGUGUUACUACAUCUUCGGAGACCUGUGUGGCAACAUGGCUAAUCUCAGCCUGAACGACCACGAUGGCUCGAGCGGGGCGUCCGACCAGGACACGCUGGCCCCCCUCCCUCACCCCGGCGCGGCCCCCUGGCCCCUCGCCUUCCCCUACCAGUACCCCGCGCCACACCCCUACAAUCCCCCUGUCGGCUUCCAUGACCCGGGAUACAGUCACGGAGCAGGGGGGGGCAGCGCCGGGAGCCAGCACAGUGAAGGCAGUCGUAGCAGCGGCUCUAACCGCAGUGGCAGUGAGCAGAGGCGCAAGGAGGAGGCGGCGGCGAAGGCGAGCGCAGGAGGAGGAGACUCCAAAUCGGGGGGCAGCGGCAGCGAGUCGGACCACACCACACGGAACAGCAGCAGCAUGAGGAGGGAGCGGACACCCAGCGAGCGCUCUGCAGCGCCCCCUAGCGAGCACAGCCUCCGCAGCCACCACUCCGCCGCGCACAGUCUCCGUAGCAGCCACAGCCACGCCUACGGCCCCCCCGGCGUCCCGCCCCUCGUCAUGAUGGGCCCCCCUGGAGCCCCACCCAGCCGAGACCUGGCUUCGGUGCCGCCCGAGCUGACCGCCAGCAGACAGUCCUUCCGCAUGGCCAUGGGCAACCCCAGUGAGUUCUUUGUGGAUGUCAUGUGAUCCCUACUGCUGCCUUUCCUUUCCUCCUGUUUUUUUUUUAUUUGUAGAAGAACGACAGCAGCAGCAGAAAAAACCAACAGAACUGUUUCUCUUCGUCUUUCUCUUCUUACUUUAACAUACUGAAAAAAGAGAAUGUGUGCUUUUAAAAAAAACUAAAAAAAGAUCUACAAAUCUAAUACAUGGAUAAAUAAAUCAAUGAAUAGAUGACUGUAGUCCCGGCAGGGAGUGGAGAUCGAAGGCGUUGCAAAUCUGAGACAGAGAGAGAGAGAGAGAGAGUUGAUGUUCUAAAUGGAGAUCCUGCUUCCUCCCUCCUGUGACUGGACUGUAGGUGUGAGGAGGGAGGGAAGGGGGCGUGCGAAAGAAAGAGAACCAAACCCAAGUGCUUUUGACCAGGAAACCAGACCUGUUGAAAUGGACACGUAGACCACCCGUCCAGCGCGGUUUACCGACUCGGCGCGCAGGAAUCUUCCACAACACUUUCAUCCUUUCUCUUUCUGAGAUCCCAGUGUGCUCUGGGGCAGCCCUGUUGUCCGCCAUAUUGGCAUAUUGUUAACGAGCUGGCUGACCCCGGAGAGAGGGGAGGUGAAAGGUGAAAGGUGAAAGGCUGACAGGGGACUGGUAGAAUACCAGUGUUCCGAGCGAUUUAUCUUGGUCUGUCCAUUUGUCUCUGGGGGCUGGCAAGCAAUAACCAAAAUAAAAUCUGCUGACAAACUGUGAAUAGAAAACCGCAACCUGUUCCACCCAAGCUCUCCUCGUGCCUCUGUCCCAUCCCGAACCCAGACUCUCGCAUGGUGGGAGACACCUGGUUUAGGUCAUCCCUGCGGGCUAUUGCUUCUGUAGAAUCAGUCCUGGUUGUUAAUAAGAUACAGUAGCAUUGUGUACAAGUGUGCGUUAGAUUUUUUUAAUUCUGUAAGAAAAGCCUGGGGGGGGAAUUUUUUUUUUUAAAUGGUACUGAAUCAAAUAUAUGUGGCAGAGUACAAAAGGGUGCUCAAUUGGACAAUCCAAUACAUUGCAAUACACAUUGCAAAGAAUUGAACAGAACUGGACAAUCCAAUACAUUGUAAUACACAUUGAGGACUU